rnacentral:misc_RNA from 1 species
CCCGCGCCCGGGUGCUGACCUCCUGCCUCAGCGCCCCCUCCCCCACUACCCGCGGCCUAGCGGGGUAGCCUCGGGUGGCCAGGCUUGUUUCCUCCUCGGUGGGUGUAAGGUGCGGCUUCGCUGGUCCUGGCCUGAAUCCAGCGGAAGCGCACGCUGCUGAGCUGUCAGCGGAGGAAAAUGGGGCCUGGACCUGGAGAUAUGAGGGUCUGGAGAGAGGGGCCCCUUCCCUGGUGUCGUGUGGUGCGACCACUGGAGAGGGAGUUUCUCGCCCUCGUCGCGCCUGCCGCGCGGAGAGAUAAGGGUUUCCUAUCGCUGAAGUGUUCACGCUGAAGCCCCUGGAGUUUGGCAAGCCCAACACUUUGGUCUGUUUUGUCAGUAAUCUCUUCCCACCCAUGCUGACAGUGAACUGGCAGCAUCAUUCCGUCCCUGUGGAAGGAUUUGGGCCUACUUUUGUCUCAGCUGUCGAUGGACUCAGCUUCCAGGCCUUUUCUUACUUAAACUUCACACCAGAACCUUCUGACAUUUUCUCCUGCAUUGUGACUCACGAAAUUGACCGCUACACAGCAAUUGCCUAUUGGGUACCCCGGAACGCACUGCCCUCAGAUCUGCUGGAGAAUGUGCUGUGUGGCGUGGCCUUUGGCCUGGGUGUGCUGGGCAUCAUCGUGGGCAUUGUUCUCAUCAUCUACUUCCGGAAGCCUUGCUCAGGUGACUGAUUCUUCCAGACCAGAGUUUGAUGCCAGCAGCUUCGGCCAUCCAAACAGAGGAUGCUCAGAUUUCUCACAUCCUGCCCAGGAUCUCCUCUUAGG